AGAGCAGUCUCCUCCGAGGCCCGGGGGACGGGCGGCCCAGUCCGUCCCGGGGCCGCGCGAGGCACAGGCGCCGCGCGGAGCCGCCCGCAGGCUUCCCCGCGCCCGGGGCCGCCGCUCUAACAACCUCGCGCUUUGCUCCCCCAGGGCGCCGCCGCGGCCACCUCGUAGCGGGUUCGGGGCCGGCCCGCCUACGCCUGCGGGAGCCGGGCCCGACCCGGGGACCAGAGAGUUUGUCACCGACGUGUGCGGGGCUGCGUGGGCUGAGCUCUACGCGCAGGUUGAAGACUACAGGCACAAGCGGUGGAAGCUGGAAUUUUCCAAUGCUGGUAUUUUUAUUGACUUAUACCAAUUCUGCAGUUUACGCCUCUAAUGAGGUCAGAUAUUCCUCCUCACUUGGAGCAGCCACGUGUCCAGCAUAGCCUUCACAGGUGUUAGCAACAGGACAGUGCUGGUGGUGAUCGGGCAGCAUAGCAGGUGUUUUUUUAUUUCCAACUGUCCUUUAGUUCUGACAACUGUGUGAGGUCGGAACUAUUCUCUCAUUUUACAGAUGAAGCAACAGACAGGUUAGGUACUACACACCAUGUGUGUAGCCCUGAACAAGGGUCCUAAUAUAAUUUUCUGGCCAUGUGACCACCUGGAAAGUCACUUCUCUCUCUUGGCAUUUAACGUUCUAGUGGUACCAUAGUAAUACUGAAACAGCUGAGGCCGGUUUGGUCAGGGGAGACCACAGUUAGAGCUGUUAAGAAUAUAAGGUCUUCUUAGUAUUUAAUUACAUCAAACCUAUGGAACUUACCCAGAAUUUGGCAGAAAGGGGGCAUCUGUCUGCAUGUUAGGUGUUUUUGAUGAAUGAGCAUAAGGAGCUGUGAGGGGAUUUAAACGAUACAGUGGUGCUUGAUUGUUAGAAUCUCAAAAUCUUGAAGGUGCUGGGGACGUUUUCCUGUGGGAAGAAAUGAGACAGUGUAGCCAGAUGAACAGAGCCUAGUAUGUGUUAGUUGUUUGCCCUGACCAGGUAGUUGUUAGUAGUUAGUUGACCAGCCCUGAAUGUCUGCAAAUACCUCAUUUUCCUGAAGUUUUCAAUAAAGAUAUUUAAUAUUCA